ACCGUUCCCUACUACUCUUCUUAUCACCGACUUUCUUCCUUCCGUUUCACUAAAGAGGAGUUGAAGAAGGAAAUUACAUAAUCAAAGCAAGCAUAGCUCCAGGGAUUACUCAUAUUUCGGCAAGGAUGUGAAGAGGAAAGAGAGGAAUGGUAACAAUGAUGAUGACGAGAAUGGAUUUGCAAAAAAUGUCGAUAGAGCGAUUCAGAUUUUGCAAACCCUGAGGAGAGAUUUGAAGAAAGGAGGAAAACAGCGAGUGGUCUUCUUCCAUUGAAACAACGACUGCUCGUUUUUGUCCUCAAGAAUUUUAAGAGGUACAAGUUCUUUUGCUCUGUGUACGUGCUUGAAAGAGUAAUACUUAAAAUUUUAGAAUGGAGAUUUCCCCACUAGUGAAACAAAAUCCGUCAUCGUAUUCAUAUCGCAACGGCGGAGUUUAACACUACCAACACCUUUCUUAACAUCAAGUUCAACAUGAAACCUUCAUCAUCAUCAUCAAUUCAACACCUUUAUAGUCUUUUUGUUUUCAUUCUCUGUUGACUUACUUCAGUCGUUUUUCCAAGGAUACCUAAUUUGAUAAUCUAUCUUAAGGGCAGUUGCUUCUUGUAAACUGAAUGAUGCUGUUAUAUAUAAUGGAUUGGCAACUGAAAGUGGUGAAUGUGCUCAAACAAAAGUGAAGAAGGGGUCUUUUCUAGAACAACUUUCAGUUUGAGUUCGUGAUUCAUCUCAAUUAAACUGCUCAAAGAGGUUGAGAUAUGCAGAUGUUGUAGGACAAUGUUGCCCAGUUUCAUCAAAGACAAUGUUAUAUUCUUCAGUUACAUGUAAGAGGAGAUGUAUUUCUUCCAUACUAUGCGUUCUUCCGAACUGGAAGAGAUUUCUGUCACAAAUGAGGAGAAUGAUGGCUCAAAUAUAAGAGAAGUGUAUCUGCCCUGUACAGUUAGCUUCUGUUGGUGUCUCGAUAUCAAUCUUCAACAUUGUUUCUAAGCUCUUUAACAUUCCUUUCCUUAGUGUUGCUACUUCUUUUGUGGCCGAGGAUAUUCCAAAGAACUCCAGUAGAAGUUCCAGCCAAGGUGGAGCAAAAGUACCUUCUUAAUGAUUUGAAAUAAAAAAUUACUUCAUAAUAUUGAAUUUUACCUUGUGUUCAACGGCAUAGAGGAGAACAAAUGGCAAUGACAAUGACAAAGCUUUCGUUGACAUAGCAGAAAGGAAACAGCUAGCUUCCGUCUCUACAACUUUGCUUUUGGCUGUUGUCAUUGGUAUCUUUGAAGGUUUGGCUUUAUGUUUUGGAUCAAAAGUGUUUCUUAAGCUGAUGGGUAUAUCAUCGGUAAGCUUUAUAUCAGCAGAAGUUCAACUUCGAUUUUUGUGAUCCAGCUGACUUGUUUCAAUUUCAAAUCGAUGAUCAUUUUCCACAACUUUAUGUAACUGCAUUGAUCAUUAUAACUGCCAGCAACAAGUCUUCCUUUCUUCAUUCAUAGUGUUUUAUCCAUUUCUCUUUAAUCGACAUCAUAAUUUUGGUCAUGCUUAUAACUUUUUUUUACCAUAGAAGGGUAGAUGGCCGGAGAAGAAGAAGACGCAGCGAUAAGUGGAACGAACUUUACGAUCAACAUGCUUACUUUUUUCACCUGGGAUUUACAGAAACAAUUUUCCGAACUGUUUGAAGGCUGUCAGUGUUAUGGUGCUCUAACAUCUAUUGCAGAUUUUCGUUUGAUUUAGAACCUUAAGGAGCCAUCGUCUGUAUAGGGAUAAUGGAGACGAAGAUGGCAAUAGUACACAAAUGAUGUAUGUGAAUGCACGACUACUGAAAGUAUUGUACGUUGUUGUGGAAUUGACAUACUGCAAGAUAUGUUGCCAAAGAAGAUAGCGAAGUGGGCGUCAUUGCCUGUAUGCAUAAUGCGUGAUCAUGGAUUUUUUGGUUUGUGGCUAUUUCACUAUUGAUAUGUUUGUAGGUAGCUUGGUUGUUUAUAAAGGAAACCGUAUCCCCUAUUUUACUGUGCAUAUUCCGUGGCUAUCGCUUCUUGUUUAUUAGCCAAUGUUUGUUGUAGUCUACCUUUUUUGUUUCUUUUAUUUUAGGUAGGUCUUGUUGUAAUUCUGGUUUAUAAAUUUGGCUUUGAUGAAUGAAUGAAAUAAGCUUUUCCACUUAUAU